GGAUCCAGACUUUGAUCCUGGCUCAGGAUGAACGCUAGCGGCAGGCUUAACACAUGCAAGUCGAGGGGCAGCGCGGGGCGGCAACGUCCUGGCGGCGACCGGCGGAAGGGUGCGUAACGCGUGAGCGACAUGCCCGUUGCCCGGGGACAACCGGUGGAAACGCCGACUAAUCCCCGAUGGGACGGAGGCCCUCAUGGGUCUCUGUUGAAAGUUACGGCGGCGACGGAUUGGCUCGCGUCCGAUUAGCUUGUUGGCGGGGUAACGGCCCACCAAGGCUACGAUCGGUAGGGGUUCUGAGAGGAAGGUCCCCCACAAUGGAACUGAGACACGGUCCAUACUCCUACGGGAGGCAGCAGUGAGGAAUAUUGGUCAAUGGGCGGAAGCCUGAACCAGCCAUGCCGCGUGCGGGAAGGAGGCCCUAUGGGCUGUGAACCGCUUUUGCCUGGGGGCAAUAAGGGCGUCGUGCACGUCCGAUGAGAGUACCAGGCGAAUAAGCAUCGGCUAACUCCGUGCCAGCAGCCGCGGUAAUACGGGGGAUGCGAGCGUUAUCCGGAUUCAUUGGGUUUAAAGGGUGCGUAGGCUGUGCGUCAAGUCAGGGGUGAAAUUCCGGGGCUCAACUCCGGGGCUGCCCUUGAUACUGUCGCGCUGGAGUGCGGAUGCCGCCGGAGGAAUGAGUGGUGUAGCGGUGAAAUGCUUAGAUAUCACUCAGAACACCGGUUGCGAAGGCAUCUGGCGAAUCCGUAACUGACGCUGAGGCACGAAAGCGUGGGGAUAGAACAGGAUUAGAUACCCUGGUAUUCCACGCCGUAAACGAUGAUGGCUAACCGCCGGCGACACACUGUCGGUGGCCAAGCGAAAGCGAUAAGCCAUCCACCUGGGGAGUACGUCGGCAACGAUGCAACUCAAAUGAAUUGACGG
rnacentral:rRNA from 1 species